GACGAACGCUGGCGGCGCGCCUAACACAUGCAAGUCGAACGAGAGAUGAGGAGCUUGCUCUUCAGAUCGAGUGGCGAACGGGUGAGUAACGCGUGAGGAACCUGCCUCAAAGAGGGGGACAACAGUUGGAAACGACUGCUAAUACCGCAUAAGCCCACGGCUCGGCAUCGAGCAGAGGGAAAAGGAGCAAUCCGCUUUGAGAUGGCCUCGCGUCCGAUUAGCUAGUUGGUGAGGUAACGGCCCACCAAGGCGACGAUCGGUAGCCGGACUGAGAGGUUGAACGGCCACAUUGGGACUGAGACACGGCCCAGACUCCUACGGGAGGCAGCAGUGGGGAAUAUUGCACAAUGGGGGAAACCCUGACGCAGCGACGCCGCGUGGAGGAAGAAGGUCUUCGGAUUGUAAACUCCUGUUGUUGAGGAAGAUAAUGACGGUACUCAACAAGGAAGUGACGGCUAACUACGUGCCAGCAGCCGCGGUAAAACGUAGGUCACAAGCGUUGUCCGGAAUUACUGGGUGUAAAGGGAGCGCAGGCGGGAGAACAAGUUGGAAGUGAAAUCCAUGGGCUCAACCCAUGAACUGCUUUCAAAACUGUUUUUCUUGAGUAGUGCAGAGGUAGGCGGAAUUCCCGGUGUAGCGGUGGAAUGCGUAGAUAUCGGGAGGAACACCAGUGGCGAAGGCGGCCUACUGGGCACCAACUGACGCUGAGGCUCGAAAGUGUGGGUAGCAAACAGGAUUAGAUACCCUGGUAGUCCACACCGUAAACGAUGAUUACUAGGUGUUGGAGGAUUGACCCCUUCAGUGCCGCAGUUAACACAAUAAGUAAUCCACCUGGGGAGUACGACCGCAAGGUUGAAACUCAAAGGAAUUGACGGGGGCCCGCACAAGCAGUGGAGUAUGUGGUUUAAUUCGACGCAACGCGAAGAACCUUACCAAGUCUUGACAUCCCUUGACGAACAUAGAAAUAUGUUUUCUCUUCGGAGCAAGGAGACAGGUGGUGCAUGGUUGUCGUCAGCUCGUGUCGUGAGAUGUUGGGUUAAGUCCCGCAACGAGCGCAACCCUUAUGGUCAGUUACUACGCAAGAGGACUCUGGCCAGACUGCCGUUGACAAAACGGAGGAAGGUGGGGAUGACGUCAAAUCAUCAUGCCCUUUAUGACUUGGGCUACACACGUACUACAAUGGCGUUAAACAAAGAGAAGCAAGACCGCGAGGUGGAGCAAAACUCAGAAACAACGUCCCAGUUCGGACUGCAGGCUGCAACUCGCCUGCACGAAGUCGGAAUUGCUAGUAAUCGUGGAUCAGCAUGCCACGGUGAAUACGUUCCCGGGCCUU
rnacentral:rRNA from 1 species